AUGAAUAAAAAUGGGACAGAACUUGUGAUUGAAAAUUUUUGUGUUUAUUGCAAUUCAAACAAUACGUUUUCUUAUCUUGAAACUUCCCAAUGCAAUGAUAAUAUUUUAAAAAGAAAAAAAAUUAAAAAUGAAUAUGAAAAAAAAGUUAGUGAAAAAACGGUAAAUUAUAAAUGGAUAAAAAAUUUGUCAAGUAAAGAAUGUUAUGAACGAAUCAUAAAAAACUUACAAAAAAGUAAUAACUUGAAGUGUAUUCAAGACAAACGUCAUAAAGAUAAUACUAAAUUUUGUUGCGAUAAUAAGGACAAAUUAAAUAAAGACUGUUCCUCCUACUUAUCAUCAAUCAACAUAAAUAAUAAAUCUUCUUUUGUAGGAGGGAUUAAUAAUAAUAAAUUUUUUAAAAACAAAAAAUAUAUAAAAGCUGCUUUAAAAAAAUGUGAAAAAAAACAAAAGCAAUAUAAACCUAAAAAUUACUCAGAGUUUAUAAAAAAAAAUACGAAAAAUGGUAACGAUUACAAUUCAAGUGAUGCACGUGUUCAGAAUAAAUUAGAAAGUUGUAAAUUAAUAAAAUUAGAAAAGAAAAAAAGAGAAACAAAUGGUGGUAGUACAUACGGAUACCCAAAUGGAGAUGUCACAUAUAACAUAUACGAAUACCUAUUUAAUGUUUAUGUGCGGAAAAAAUAUUACAAACGAAUAGGAAAAUGUUGGUUGGAUCGUUUUUUAAAAAAAAAUGGAUCAUUACAUAAACAGAUAGCAAAACAUUUAAUAAAUUUAUUAAUCAUAAAAAGUUUUAUAAUUUUCGAUUUUGAGUUUUGGAAUUUCUUUUACUUCAAAAAUAUGAUUAACCAUUUUAAUAAUAAUUUAUAUUUUUUUGUUGGUAAGGUAGGAAAUGAAAAAAGCAAUUUUUUAAAAGAGAUAUUUACAUCCUUUCCUUUUCAUUACCCAAAUGAUAUUAUUCACGUUAUUGAUAUGACUGAGUAUGAUAAACAUGACAUAAUUGUUAAUUACAAAUAUAUCAUGCACCAAUCUUCUGUCAUUUUAAAUAAAAAAGAAAAAGAUAUAACGAACAACGGGUGUUACUCCAUUUUUAAUUAUACAACUGUGGAUGAAACAAAUGGAAAAAAUGGAAAAAAUGGAAAAAAUGGGAAAAAUGGAAAAAAUGGAAAAAAUGUGGAAAAUGGAAAAAAUGUGGAAAAUGGAAAAAAUGGGGAAAAUGGAAAAAAUGGGAAAAAUGGAAAAACAAUAAAAAAUAUGAACAAACCAAAUUUUUUAUUCAAAAUUUGUUACGUAACAAAAAUAAAAAAAAAGCUUUAUGAAUUAUUCAUGGCGAGAAUAAAUGAACUAACCAAACGAACACAAGUACACAAGCAACUGGGUAAACAACAUAAUUCGAAUAAAAUAGUAAAAGCAAAACUGAAUAAACAAAAAAAUAUAACAUAUAUUCAUAAGGAUGAUACUUAUAUUAAAAACGAUUUAAACAUAAUUGUAGAAAAAAUGGAAAAAAAUAAUAAUUUUAAACAAUUCUUAAUAGAUUAUAGUGAUACUAACUCUUCAAGUAGUUUUGAUUUAUAUAAUAUUCAACAGAAUGAGUAUGAUACAACUUAUUUUUUAAAAGAAAAAAAAAAAAAAAAAAAAAUUACAAAAAUGAGGUAUAUAUAA
ensembl:lncRNA